rnacentral:rRNA from 1 species
ACUAAGCGGAGGAAAAGAAACUAACAAGGAUUUCCUUAGUAACGGCGAGCGAACCGGAAGAGCCCAGCUUGAA